GAUGAACGCUGGCGGCGUGCCUAAUACAUGCAAGUCGAGCGAACAGACGAGGAGCUUGCUCCUCUGACGUUAGCGGCGGACGGGUGAGUAACACGUGGAUAACCUACCUAUAAGACUGGGAUAACUUCGGGAAACCGGAGCUAAUACCGGAUAAUAUAUUGAACCGCAUGGUUCAAUAGUGAAAGACGGUUUUGCUGUCACUUAUAGAUGGAUCCGCGCCGCAUUAGCUAGUUGGUAAGGUAACGGCUUACCAAGGCGACGAUGCGUAGCCGACCUGAGAGGGGGACGGGCAAAAAGGGAAAGGAGCAACGGACAGAACUAAGAGGGGGGGCAGAAGGAGGGAAUCUUCAGAAAGGGGAAAAGGCAGGAAGAAGAAACGCGGGGGGAGGGAGGAAGGUAUAAGAAUAAAAAAACUUUGUAAUAAGGGAAAAAAAAAUGGGAAAGAAAGAAGGCACGUCUGGAGGGAACAAAAGAAGAAAACCACGAAAAAGUACGGC
rnacentral:rRNA from 1 species